rnacentral:rRNA from 1 species
AACGGGUGAGUAACACGUGGGUGAUCUGCCCUGCACUUCGGGAUAAGCCCGGGAAACUGGGUCUAAUACCGGAUAGGACUGCGCGGUGCAUGCCGUGUGGUGGAAAGAUUUAUCGGUGCAGGAUGGGCCCGCGGCCUAUCAGCUUGUUGGUGGGGUAAUGGCCUACCAAGGCGACGACGGGUAGCCGGCCUGAGAGGGCGACCGGCCACACUGGGACUGAGACACGGCCCAGACUCCUACGGGAGGCAGCAGUGGGGAAUAUUGCACAAUGGGCGCAAGCCUGAUGCAGCGACGCCGCGUGAGGGAUGACGGCCUUCGGGUUGUAAACCUCUUUCAGCAGGGACGAAGCGUGAGUGACGGUACCUGCAGAAGAAGCACCGGCCAACUACGUGCCAGCAGCCGCGGUAAUACGUAGGGUGCAAGCGUUGUCCGGAAUUACUGGGCGUAAAGAGCUCGUAGGCGGUUUGUCGCGUCGUCUGUGAAAACCAGCAGCUCAACUGUUGGCUUGCAGGCGAUACGGGCAGACUUGAGUAUUUCAGGGGAGACUGGAAUUCCUGGUGUAGCGGUGAAAUGCGCAGAUAUCAGGAGGAACACCGGUGGCGAAGGCGGGUCUCUGGGAAAUAACUGACGCUGAGGAGCGA